UUAUGAUGAACCACCAGCUGGCACCAGUCAUAGAGUGAUUUGUACUCCCUUCAUUGAUGACUACCAUUGCUGCGGUCUAGUACCGAUUCUGAA
rfam:Ceratocystis platani strain CFO contig_00218, whole genome shotgun sequence.